rnacentral:rRNA from 1 species
CCCUUAGAUGUUCUGGGCUGCACACGUGCUACACUGGCAGGUUCAGCGAGCUUCAUGCCCUGAUCUGAAAGGAAUGGGAAAUCUUUUCAAAACCUGCCGUGCUUGGGAUAGAUGUUUGCAAUUAUUCAUCUUCAACGAGGAUUGCCUUGUAAGCGCAUGUCAUCAGCAUGCAUUGAAUACGACCCUGUAUUCUGUACACACCGCCCGUCGCAUCUACCGAUUGAAUGGAGAGGCAAAAUCUUCGGACCGUGACGCUUGGGAGUCAAAUCUCGGGCUGUCGUGGGAAGUGGAUUAAACCUUUCUAUUUAGAGGAAGGUAAAGUCGUAACA